GAACCCUGUUGUUUGCGUUUUCUUUAGAUAAAACAAUAAUUGCGGGUUUAGAGUUUCUCAAUUGCAUACAUCGGCUGUUUCAGAUGUCUUGGAGUAUUUAGGGUUUUUCAAUCAACUUGAUGUCGUCGAGAAUCACCAGAAUUUUCAGGGUUUUGUGAGAAUUGCGAGUUUAAGGUUUUCCAAUCAUGGAAUUUGACGAUCAUCUGACGUGUUCUUGGUCUGCCGUAGAAUUAAUUAACAGCAGGUUGUUAUUGUAGCAUGCUUCUGAAGCAGAAACAAGUCAUCGAAUGCCCUUCCAUAUGAUACAUCUGGUCAAACCUUAUGGCAUUUGAGAAACCAUAAGGAGCCCCACCUCAGCUGUUGGCAGAUUUUCUAACGCCUUGAAGUUUAUCGUCGAAGAGUCCUCAGCCCCCUGGAGCUUAACGGAAACUGAAACAGAUUAUGCAAUAAUGCUAUGACGCACAUAUUCGACAAACUUGUCUCGAAGUACAGUACUGGGGCAGUUACUGACUUACUGGAUAUGUCAUAUAGUUGUCAUAGAUGCUUUUAAAGCGGAAGAAUUUGCUGAGGUGGCAACGAAGCCUCUGAAAGCCCUUCCAUAUGACACACCUGGUUGAAGUUUAUGGCAUUUGAGUACCCCAUAAGGGGUCCCAGCUCAUCUGUUGGCAGAUUUUUGACAUGUUGAAGUUUAUCGUCAAAGAGGCAACUUUAUCGAAUUAAACAAACUGGCCCGUUUCGAGAGGGGCUAAGUCUCUGGAUACACUCGCCACGUAGGAACCGGGUCUGUUUCUCGCUAUCAGAGAUGCGAAGUGGGGGUUUAGAGUAAGCAUUCUGCUGGUUUGUGCCGGAAGUCAGAGGUUUGGAAUCUGUUUGGGGGGGGGGGUGUAGGGUGAGGGGACCAGGUUGAAGACUUGCCAGGUCGGGUGUGGUUAGCUUUAGACUCGUACUCUAGCGCAAUACUCACUGCCCUAUACACUGAUCGGGGCUUUUGAAGCCGGACAUCUGCCUUUAGUUCUUCUUUGAGACCAUUCAGAAAAACGCCCAACAAGCAGUGGUCUGGCCAAUUAGUUACCCGAGAGGACCUCUUGGCGAAUUCUUGUCGAUACGCUUGGAUGGUCCCGGUCUGUUUGAUGCUAUAGAGGUGCUCAUCAGGGUUUUGAAAUUCGGUAGGACCAAAGUUUUUGUGGAGAGCAUGAACUAAAUCCUCCCGGAAAUUGAUUUCCUGAUCUGUGGACAACCAGGAAUACAGAUCCAACGCAUCACCUUCUAGAUGUAAAGAGGCAACAUCUACCUUUUCUUCUUCAGGUAUAUUAUAGCAGCUGAAAUAUUUUUCGGCCUUGAGCACCCAACCUCGAGGAUCUCCGUCACUGAAAGUAGGAAAAUCAAUUUUGUUGUAUGGUCUGUUGUGUCGGUUUGAAUUUCUAGAAGGCUCCCCAUCGUCAUACCUUCCAUAUCCUCCAUUCGGUUUCUCCACAUGGGUCUUGAGGGCUGCCAAUUCAUCUCGCAUAGCAUCCACGGUUUCAAGUUUCUUAACAAUAACUGCUAAUUGGGAUGCUAAUGAAUCGGGUGGGUUAGAACCACUCUCUUCUGGACUGCUCCGGGUCUGAACCAUUUUGUCUCUAUUCGAUUCCCGGCAAUGGAACCAAUGAUAGAAACAACAAAAUUAAGCAGGCAACUUUAUCGAAUUAAACAAACUGGCCCGUUUCGAGAGGGGCUAAGUCUCUAGAUACAAAUGAAACUGAUAACAAAAACAAGAACAAGAAAAACUCAUGAAAAAUGUAGCCUGCUAAUAAAACAAGAACUGAAAUUAACUGCUCCUAAAACUCAGCUUAUAAACUGCCUUGAACUGUUCCAUAACUCCCAUCCUGUGCUGACCCAGUGGUAUAAACCUGGAUCCUUGAACCGCCCUUUCCUUCUGGUAUAAACCUGGAUCGGGAUCCUAUCAUAUACAUCUUAACAUUAGUUAUUUUAGUAAAAUCAUAAAUUUUUGUAUGCUUAUAUAUAUCUACAAGAAAUCCAAUAAUAUCACCCCAUCUGAAAAUUUUACCUUACAUAACUCUUAGAGCAAAGCUUAGACCACAUCUUGUGUGGUGGACACUUACCUUGUAUUCUCACUGUAUCGUUGUUUGCUACAAACAGGAUCCAGGCUACCAUCUUCUCAAAUGAUUAUUUGACCUGUUAUAGGGACUUGAAUCCUUUGCAUGAUGAAAGAUAAUAUAACACCUCACCUUUUUUUAAUGGUUAUUUCUCAAAAUACCCUACACAUGCUUCUCAUGUGAUAGGAUUUAACUAUAAGUUGGAUGGAGUUAGUGUGGUGGACCAAAACCGCAAUAACAAAGAAACCUCAGCAUGAAAAAUUUGGAUUUUGUAAAAUAUAGCAAUAACCACUAAACCACAAGGACCAAAACCGCAAUU
rnacentral:lncRNA from 1 species